rnacentral:rRNA from 1 species
GAUGAACGCUGGCGGCGUGCCUAAUACAUGCAAGUCGAGCGAACAGACGAGGAGCUUGCUCCUCUGACGUUAGCGGCGGACGGGUGAGUAACACGUGGAUAACCUACCUAUAAGACUGGGAUAACUUCGGGAAACCGGAGCUAAUACCGGAUAACAUGUUGAACCGCAUGGUUUAACAGUGAAAGACGGUCUUGCUGUCACUUAUAGAUGGAUCCGCGCCGCAUUAGCUAGUUGGUAAGGUAACGGCUUACCAAGGCAACGAUGCGUAGCCGACCUGAGAGGGUGAUCGGCCACACUGGAACUGAGACACGGUCCAGACUCCUACGGGAGGCAGCAGUAGGGAAUCUUCCGCAAUGGGCGAAAGCCUGACGGAGCAACGCCGCGUGAGUGAAGAAGGUCUUCGGAUCGUAAAACUCUGUUAUUAGGGAAGAACAAAUGUGUAAGUAACUAUGCACGUCUUGACGGUACCUAAUCAGAAAGCCACAGCUAACUACGUG